GUAGGUGAACCUGCGGAAGGAUCAUUACCGAAGUCAAGGCCCCUUCGGGGGCUAAACUUCCACCCUUUGUUUACCUUACCAUUGUUGCUUUGGCGGGCCGCCUUAGGCCACCGGCUCUCGAGCUGGUGCGUGCCCGCCAGAGACCCCCAAACCCAAACCAUAUUUAGUGUCGUCUGAAAACAAGUUUAAAUUAUUAAAACUUUCAACAACGGAUCUCUUGGCUCUG
rnacentral:misc_RNA from 1 species